AUUAAACUUAAAAAGACAAGCAUGUUUUCUAUCACAUCAGCAAUUCUACAUUUUUGUGUCUAGGAAAUGAAAACAAAUCCAUGCAUGCCAUUGUGAUUAUAAAAGAAGACACAAAAGGAACCAUUUUUACACAUAUUAUAUUUCUCAGUGAAAGUGAUACACAGAUCAACUCAUUUUGUCACUCCCAGUCAAAAUCACUAUGGAAAGAUUAUGGGAAGUAUUACAAAACUGUAAUGAUUAAAGAAAAUGGAGUAACACUACAACAGCUCUUCCUAAUGCACCAGUGA
rnacentral:lncRNA from 1 species